UUGUUUUGUGCUUUGUGUUUGUCAAGUUUGGAAUAGUUUAAUGUAGAAUUUGCAAACUUGGAAAUGAAACAAAUGCAAUUUAAUUUCCCAUUGUAUAGGCCUAUAUAAGGUUUAACUGAGAAUAAAAUGCUGAUUUGACUUGUUUGGCUCACAGAGGCUGAGACUGGGUGAGUCCCAAUAUACCAUUUGGACCGUCCUUUGGGCAGAUUUGGAUGCCUUUCACAACAAUGAUGUUCAAGUUAACAUCCGAAUGGCCUGCAGUCAUGGAGAGCUCUGAUUCUGCCCUGUGGGCUGGAAAGUUCACAAAGCCAGGGGCUGGUCUUUGAAGAACCCUCUUCCUCGUUCUGCCCUUCCUCUGCCCUCUCAGAUGCAAGGUAACCUCAGCACAUCAAAGAGAGGCUCCAUACAGAGUCCACUUGAUGCUGUUAUCCUCCCACCCCCAAAAACACACACUCACGGCACCACAGCUCCCCUUACACACAUAGUCCAGCCAUUGCAUAGCAUUUGAACAAAAAAACCCAACAACAACCUACAACCAAAUCACCAGUCCCACCUGUUAACCUGACCUCUGUUUGUCCUGGUGUUCUAGUAAGUGGAUUGCCAAAUGACUUCCCUCGCCUCUGUGAUGUGAAAUGAAAAUCAAAUAUGCUGCUGUAAGAACCUCAGGGCAAUAGGGCAGGUGCCCAAGACAAUAUUUGGCAGAGAAAGAUGCCACCACCCAAAUGUGAGUGUGCACGCCAGGCCAGAGGUGAUCCUGAAUGCCGGUUGUCAGCAAGCCCAGCGUUCUCUCGGCAGGCAUGACCCGUGGAGUCAUUAUCCCUCCAGGUAAAUCACCUCGCAAUCAGUGUCUGAAGCCCCCUGCUCUCCAGAUGAUUCCCCUGCUGAUUGGCCUAACUGGUCUCCUGUCUGAGGAACGAUUACCCUGCAUUGUUUUCUUUAUGGCACAUAGAUUGAGCUGUUGUUAGCAUCCGCUCGAUGGGUAGAGGCAGCAUGCGUGAGGCCGGGAUGCGAGGAUUUUCUCUGAGGUCGCUCUCAUCGCGCUUGAUAAUAGUAACAGGAAAAGCAUAGGCAAGAUUUCAUUCUAAUGGUUUUGAAUGAGCCUUUUAAUUUGAAAUGGCAAACUAUGAUUUCUUGAACUGGAAAUGGUAGCCAAGUUGGUCGAGGUUCGGGCCAGACUCAACUCUGAAACUGGAGAAUGAAAUGAUCAAGAUGUAGUUGGAACAUUUAUUAUUUGUCAUUGGCACUUGCAAAUUAGCUUUUAUGAACUUGAGUUCCAGUAGUGAUCAAGCCUUAUUGUAUUUCCGUUUACGGCGUUUGACCUCAAAAACAACAAGAUGCUCUACACUCUCAAUAGCACAAUUCCCCAUGUUAAAUUUAUCUUCUAUAUUGAUAAACUGGAUUCUCUUGAAAGACUGACAAUAGUAUUGUUCACACAGUAUUAAGGAUUUCUUACACAGUGUAACAAUCUACAAUCAGCACAGCAACAUUCUGAGUGUUGCUGUAGAUAUUUUCAUUGGCAUAUCACAUGGCAAUCCCAAUCACAAUUCAGUGCAUUCAAACAUGUAGACAUGGUCAAGAUGAUCUGCUGAAGUUCAAACUGAGCAUCACAAUGGGUGAGUUGAAAGGUGAGUUAAGUGACUUUGAAUGUGGUAUGGAUGUUGUUGCCAGACAGAAAGGUCUGAGUAUUUCAGAAACUUCUUAUCUACUGGGAUUUUCAUGCACACCUAUCUCUAGGGUUUACAGAGAAUGGUCAGAAAAAGAGAAGAUAUCCAGUUAUCGGCAGCUCUGUGGGGAAAAUGCCUUGUUGAUGCCAAAGGUCAGAGGAGAAUGGCCAGACUGGUUGGAGCAACAGUAACUCAGGUAGAUACGCCACAGGACAGGGUGUUUCCGCACAAGAAGUAACGGCAAAGAAAUGCUUCAAAGAGAGAGGUGAUUUUGGAGUCUUGUGAUGGCACAGUUACUGGUCCACCUCAUCUCGCAAAUCUUAAAAAUGCAUCAAGCUCAACAAAACAGGGACACUGAGCCCCCCUCUUACUGGGAUUAUCUGUCUGCUGGGUGAACAAGCCACGUCCUGCCCACUGCACCCAAUUCACAGAGAAAUUUACUCAAAUCUGACAGUUCUUUACUCUGGAAGAGGCUUGGAAUGUCACCAAAGUGGUUGUAAAGUCCAUGGAAAUGUAGUACCCUAAACUCUUUUAGUAGUGAUUGUAAGAAGAAUUUUGUGUUCAAAUAAUCUACAGCACCAAUGAUA